GCCGGGUGUGGUGGUGCAUGCCUGUAAUCCCAGCUACUCAGGAGGCUGAGGCAGGAGAAUUGCUUGAACCCGGGAGGCGGAGGUUGCAGUGAGCCGAUAUCACGCCACUGCAUACUCCAGCCUGGAUGACAGAGCAAGACUCCGUCUCAA
rfam:Homo sapiens chromosome X, GRCh38 reference primary assembly.